UACACAUGCAGUCGAACGGAAAGCCCUGCUUGCAGGGUACUCGAGUGGCGAACGGGUGAGUAACACGUGGGUGAUCUGCCCUGCACUUCGGGAUAAGCCUGGGAAACUGGGUCUAAUACCGGAUAGGAGCCAUUUUUAGUGUGAUGGUUGGAAAGUUUUUUCGGUGUGGGAUGAGCUCGCGGCCUAUCAGCUUGUUGGUGGGGCAAUGGCCUACCAAGGCGGCGACGGGUAGCCGGCCUGAGAGGGUGGACGGCCACAUUGGGACUGAGAUACGGCCCAGACUCCUACGGGAGGCAGCAGUGGGGAAUAUUGCACAAUGGGCGCAAGCCUGAUGCAGCGACGCCGCGUGGGGGAUGACGGCCUUCGGGUUGUAAACUCCUUUCGCUAGGGACGAAGCUUUUUGUGACGGUACCUAGAUAAGAAGCACCGGCUAACUACGUGCCAGCAGCCGCGGUAAU
rnacentral:rRNA from 1 species